rnacentral:lncRNA from 7 species
GAGGCGAGGUUCGUCGUGGCGCGUUCCUGUCACGGGGCAGCACUCCGUUCUGGUGCUUGGCGUCGCUCUCGAAGCCCAGCGUGUUUCACAGCGAAGCGGCUGGGAGCUCCUUUGAUGCGAUCGCACUGCUGUAUCUCGCAUGAGUCAUCCUGAGCGGGCUGUGAGCAAGCAGCGGUUGGUACGUGAGGAGCAUGCGGCCAGCUGAUACAGGUAAGCUUCCUGAUGGUGUCAUGGUAGUCUUCAAAAUAGCCUAAGAUUAUAUCUAGUUUUAUUCCUAAUGAUAUUUACAUGGCAAUAAGAUUUGUGGCAGGCUCCGUGAUGGUGCCAGACCUCCUUCUCUCUCCCAGUCAGCAUCAUUUCUGCCAUAGUUUGCUGUCUACAUUUGUGCCUGGUGGAAUCAUCAGUGUUGCACAAGGCUGGAAGCUGAACAAGGAGAUAAGUAUGUUUUUUAGCUUGUGGUUAAGAACAUGGGCAUACUCGUGUUUCUUACCGAAACCCUCGUGCUUUGUGUGAUGUACACCAGGUCAUUUGUUCACAGUUUUUCGGGGAAUGGUGUUUUUCACAGGAAGUUUUUCCAUAUUCCAUUAGAACUCACUGCUUAAAAGUGCUGUUACGUUUUACUCUCCUGUAAAGUCAUUGCUUUAUUUAUAGCCUUUUUAAUCUUCUGAUAAUUGAUAAAUUCUUUUCAGCCUGACUUAUAUAUGACAUACACUAGUAAAUGACUGUAUGCUACAACUGUCAUUAGUCAACAGAGUUUUACUCCGGUAUACAUAAAAUACUUUUACCUCCACAAUUUUGUUGAUCUUUCCUGAAUUCUUCUUACUGCUUUGCAGUAGAACUGCGGUCUUUGUUCAAGGUGAAAUCUGAGAGCUACCAUCACUUGUGUAGUGCUCAUCCUCAGAAUUCUUUUAAUCCCAAGUGCAAGUAAAUGCUUCAACGGUAGGUGGGAUAUAUCAAAUCUGCUGAACAGGAUCGAUUUGUGCAUCCAGAUUAGCGUUCUGUGAGGGAGGAUGUCUUAUAGGAGGAAGAACCUCAGCUCUGUGGACUGUUCCAGUCACUGCUGUAAGUCUGCUUUCCUUGAUGGUUGCUUGGAUUAGUUCGUGUUCUUCCCUUGGACUUUUCCCAGGACUAGCAGGUGUCAUGCAAAUGUCAGUGGGGUCCCGUGCACGACCAAAAUGGCAAAAGCAAGCCUGAAGGCAUACUUGAGUAUGCCCCAAGGGCCACUAGACACCUCUCAGUAAGCAACCAAAUUCCAUUCAUGAUGUCCAAGAGGUAGUUUGUGUGAAUCAUGAGGAAAAUAAAUGUGAGGUGAGUGUUUCAUUUCUCAGAUGAUUUUCUUGUUAUUAAGAUCAUUUGUAUGUAAACCGAAUUCAGAUUGGUGUAUUUCAUUUCAGUUUCUUCUGCUUAUUAUUUUCCUGUCUGAGCAAUCUGUAAUAACUGUUAAUGUCUUUAGAAUGAUUGGACACACUGAGUAACUGGAUACUUUACCAUUUGAUGGCUUUCUCCUGUAAUACUUUUGGGCUAUGUGUACUGUUGAGCCCAGGCUGAAAUUUUUAAGCCAAAAAAGUCUGCGUUCACAUAGAUGUGAACAAAUGUGUGAAUACAGAUCCGAGUCUGCUUUUCACACAUGGUUUGUCUUUACAAUUAAACCUGAUACCUGUGGUUCAGAACACUGUGAUAUAGUAGAAAUAUAAAUACAAGUGCUGCAGUAGUGUUUUGUCUUUGUAGGCAGACAAGAAGGGUCUAGUUGAAGUGUUGCCAGAAUACAACUUUGAUAUUUCUCCUGUUUUGGUUUUCUUAUCAGUGUCCUAUGAUUGCACUGUUUAAAAUACAUCAUGUGCAGUGUUCUGGUUAUGAAGGUUCAUGAUGUCCUCUAAAAAGGGCUGGAAGAAAAACUAUGAGCCCUUUUCCCACUACUUUAUGGACAGAGCAAAUAAUACUGUUCUCAAAUUGCAAUACUGAAUAUUAGUAUUUUUAGUGUGUAAAUAUAUAUAUAUGAGAAGUGUUGAACUUUUCUACAAGUAUUGUUUUCUUAAUCUUUGUUCUAUUAAUUCAGUUGAACAAAGAUCCAAUAAGAUGACUAAGUGUAAGAUUGAUUCCUAUUAUGAACUCUCACUUUUGUAAACAAAGAAAGAGAAUACUGUGCACUUGACCGAGGGACAUUUAAUAUCUGGAAAAUGUCAAUUUGCCACUCAACUCCCUUCUGAGAAGUCUACAGUAUAUGGGAUGACAUCUGCUCAUUUAGGAGUAAGUGGAAAUCCCAUUGCUUUAAAUAAAUAAUGUUUUUAUGACACACAGAUUUACUUUAGCAAGUAGAUACUAGCCAAAGUGCAGUGAUAUAAUAUUUUUAACUUCUGUGUACAGUACGAAGAAAUUGGGAGCACAAGAAAUAGUGACAACACUUUGGGUCUCAUCUUGCUUCACUGAGCUACGGGAAUGGAGAAUCGGCUCCUGUUUUCAUUACUACUUGUCAGUGUUUCAGUCUAACCCCAUAUUUUCAGGGAUGUAGCACGUCGAGCCCAGCGUGGCACUAGUCCUUCUUGUGUUUUCACCUUUCUGAGCCAAUUCCCCAUUUUUCAGGCACUAAAAUGAAGGAAUAUGGGAGUUACAUAAAAAUGCUGUCCUUGUACCUUGACAAGUUAGUACAUAAAUUUCAGUUUUAAACAUAUCUGACAAGUCUAAUCCCAUCUGAGACAUUCAAAUGAGAUAGCCCUGCAAUGACAGAAGUGUUUUCUGUUAUUUUAUUUCCGACUCUUUGUGUGUCUUUCACUGAAGCCAAACAAAAUCAUACCAGAAUAUUUGGUACGUGGGACAGUGGCCUACGCUCCUCCUGAGAAACGGCAACCUUUUAAUUUUGAAUAUAAUGAAAAGACAAUGUAUUUUUGGAAGUGGUUUCGCCAUACUAUAUAAUAAAUUUGUGCUGUGUCCUUUUUGAACUGCAGUGCUAUUCUUCUGUGAAUAGCCAGACUGCUGCAUGGCUGUAGAGAGCGUGGCCCAGAUCCUGGAAGCUGCAGACUGACGCACUAUGUAAGCCAAAUGCCUGCACAAACGGAGAAUACAGCUUGCUUUUUUCUCACUGCAGAAUUCUGAUGUCCAUUUGUGCAGGAUUCAUUCAUCAGCGAGAGGAAAAGCAUCAUUCAUCUGCUUGGAAAUUUUGGUAGUCCUUUAGGUCUGAAUGGUAGGACCUGGCGAUUUGAACCUGGGUCUGUGUGAGUAGGUUAAAAAGGAAUAGCAUAACCGCUACCACUAGCAUCUGCCUUACGCUGGUACCCUUGUGGGACUCAUGGAGUAUGCUGUAGUGCAGUGUGAGGCACCAGUUCCAUGCUGCAAAGUUUGGGCAUUAUCAAUUAUUAUUAACAGUUUUCAACAGUAACAGUUAAUAAUGCAGAUAACACAUGUUGUUAUCUAGAGUAGCAUAAUUUAAUUUGUAUUAAAGAUUUAAAAU